CAAUAACGACUCAAUAACCAAACGUCUUCAUUCAAAAUUCAGUCUGGUGUCAGUGUUACUCUUAAGAGUAACGUGCGUAAGAUGUGUUUAACACUUAACCUUAAACGUUAAGAACCGUAUUCUGCCCUUUACUGACCAUUUAUCCUUGAAGUAGCAUACAGUUGUUGACGAGAUCAUUUUCUACUGUAACGUAAAGACUAGUUUGUGUUCCCCCUCGUGCAUUGCUGCAUUGUUCGACCUUAUGGCUUCUGCAGUAAAAUAGCACUAGGGGUUGGUAGUGGUACAAACAAACAUGGGGAAUGAAACUAACCGGCUUUAUAAAUAUGGUCGGCAGACCGACCAGGAAACCAGUGCUGCCAGAUUGGGACAGAUUUCACGCCCGAUCUGGCAACACUGCAGGGAACGGCGGCUAUAGUGCUCAGCCGAUCCGCCCGUCGCUGCCGGCUGGAGCAGUGCAUCAUGAUACAUUCUACAACGCUAUUAUCCGUAAAAUGAGACAGCGUGAAUAUUUAAUGCGAUUCUCGCAGGGCGGACACGGCGUCGUGAGUUGACAGCUGUUGGUCUCCAGCCCCGAACACCAGAGGACAUUUGAUAUCUGCGGCUGCGUAAACCCAAAGAGUGAUUGACUCGUCCACUGUACCGAUCUGUAAAUCCACAAUGUGAAUUAUUGGGGGGUGGACUAUAACCUUCUGACCAGUUAGUCACCUCUACAAUGAGCUCACUGACAAGACAGCUGAAGGUGCUGCGAUGGAGUUGGAGGAGGAGAGUGGCGGCCCUCCCACCCCCUGCUGUCUAUACCCGGGCCCUCUGCAGCCGCUCACAUGACCCCGCGGACCCCAUCGAGGUCCACAAGAGGAAGCUGGAGCUGUGGUUCAGCCACCUGCCCCAGGAGGAGAAGCAGUUCGGGGGCUACUUCCUCCCAGAGACCAUGCACGUGGACCCCCUCAUCCUGGAGAGGGAGCCCGCGGAGAAGAGGACCCCCCUGAUCCCCAGCCCCCUGCUGCAGGGCCCCCCUGUUCCGGCCUGCACCAUGGAGCAGCUGUUUGAGCCGGUGGCAGAUUGGGGCGGGGCCCGGGGCCUCAACGUGAUGCUGUACGGGGCGGUGGGGACGGGUAAGACCACCGUGGUCCGGAAGCUGGUGCUGGACUGGUGCGCCGGGGCCGCCCUGACCCAGUUCAAGCUGCUGGUGCCCUUCUCCUGUGAAGACCUCUCCCAGUUGACAAGGGCCUCCUCUUUACGGGACUUGGUGGGCAGGAAGUACCUCCAUCUGCGCAGGAUCCCGCUGCUGAGCGGCGAGGGCGACCAGGCCAAGGAGGUCCUCUUCCUCUUCAACGGGAUAGAGAAGAUGAAGCUGGACUUCCGGAUUGGGAACACGGAGCUGUGCAGUGACCCCAGCGAGGCGCUCCCCUCCGGGGCCGUGGUGGUCAACCUGCUGAGGAAGUACCUCCUGCCUGAGGCCAGUAUCCUGGUGACCACCCGGCUCUCUGCGGUGGAGUCCAUCCCCCAGAAGUACGUGGCCCGCUACGCACAGAUCUGUGGCUUCGACAGUGCUGAGCGCCAGCGGGCCUACUUCACCAGCCGCCUGCUGCAGCAGCCCAGCACCGGUGUGGCCCAGCCCAACCGGGAGGCCCUCAUCGAGCUCCUCUACCUCAACCUGCAGAGGGAGAGCCGCCUGGCCCAAGCCUGCUUCCUGCCCGCCUACUGCUGGCUCACCUGCGCCACUCUCCACUUCCUGCACUUUACCGACGCCCAGGCGCCCAUCCGCACCUUCACAGGCAUCUACACUAGCUUCCUGCGGCUCAACUUCGGCGGGGAGGUGCUGGGAGCGGGCGCGGCGGCGAGGGCGGACGGCUCGGUCCAGGAGCGGCAGGGCUCCCUGAUGCUGUACGUGGUGCGCACGGUGGGGAAGCUGGCCUUCGACGGCGUCACCAACAAGCGCACCUCCUUCUCGGAGAGCGAGCUGGAGCAGUGGGUCGGCGGGAAGACCAAGACGGACGAGGAGCUGCGGCAGCUGGCCGUGUUCAGGACCGACGUGCUGGACUUCUUCCUGGUCCCCUGCCCCAGCAAGGACGGCCAGGAGCAGGACGCCGACGAGCGGCGCUACACGUUCGCCGUGCCGGCCAUGCAGGAGUACCUGGCCGCCCUCUACGUGGUCCUGGGGGAGAACAAGACGGCGGUGGAAAAGCUCACCAGGCAGGUGUCGGUGGCCAUCGGCCAGGUGAACGAGGAGGUCGGCUCCAUGGUGGCGGUCCUCUCCAAGUUCAUCCCGCUGCGCAUCUUUGCAGUGUUCAACCUGCUCCAGCUGUUCCCCAAACUGUACGAGCGGAUCCACACUCACAACCAGGGCCGCAUCGCCAGGACGCUGGCGUCAGAGAUGUUCCGCAACGAGGACAGCUUCAACGAGGACGUCCUGGACCAGGUGGAGCAGGGCCUGCUGGGGCUUCACGGCCCGCAGCCCGAGAAGCAGGAUGAGAGGCAGCCCUUCGAGCUCUACCCCAUCUUCAUGGGCGGCCUGCUGCACUAUGACAACCGCGUCCUGCUGCAGCAGCUGGGCUGCAGCAUCAAGAGCACCACUGUGUCCCAGAUCACGCGCGCUCUCCGCAAGUAUCUCGUUCGAGAAUUGAACAAGCCCCAGCCCCCGGAGGAGCUCAUGGACCUCCUGGUCCUGCUCUACGAGUUCCAGAACCCCCGGCUCACGGCCGAGAUCCUGUCCACCAUCAGAACCAUACGCCUCUGCAACGUUCGCAUGACGCCCCUCAAGUGCUUUGUUCUGAGCUCGGUGCUGUCCUGCAGCCCUGCCAGCUACCGGCUGGAAGAGCUGAACCUGUCUUCUUGCUACCUAACACACGAUCUGCUGGAGAUGCUGUGGCCUGCUUUCAGACACACACAUAACCUCAAUCUCCAGUUUAACAGCCUGGGCCCAGAUUCCUGCAUCUUCCUGAGUGACCUUCUGCUUGACCCCAAGAGUGAUAUUAGAUCCCUACAGCUGUGCGACAACCCCCUCCAGGAGUCCGGGGUGCGCACCCUGCUGGAGGCCCUGCCCCAGGACCAGUCCCUCAGGCAUCUGUCCCUGAUGCACACGGGGCUGGGGGACGCCGGCGCCCGGCAGCUGGCCUCCAUACUGCACCACCACGCGCGGCUCCAGGAGCUCAACGUGGCCUACAACAACAUCGGGGACAGCGCCGCCCUGACCCUGGUGGACGCCUGCAGGGAGCACCCCAACAUACACACCGUGCACCUGUACCUCAACCCCCUUAGCAACGUGGGGAAGCAGUCCCUGUACGUGCGCGGGGUGCCCACCGACCAUGGGGGCACGGGCCGCCGCGUGCAGGUGCUGGCGUCCGUCACCGAGGGCUCGGACCUGUCCGAGUCCUGGCACCCCAUCCUCAGCGUCAUCACGGAGAACGCCUCCACCUGGGACCCUAAGCGCGUGCGCGAGCAGCUGGAGGUUUUCCUCAGGGACCUGGAGUGGGGCCGGCAGCAGCAGCCCAGCUGGUGGAAGAGGAUGCACUUCCGCAAGGUGGAGAAAGGGGUGAGGCAGGUAUUGCAAAGGAUGGACAAAGAUACUGCCCCUAAAUCCCGAAGAAAUGCCAAGUAAAAUCAGCCUGGCAACUCAAACGCUCAGGGAAGAGGAUGGCUGCCUAUGCCUGGCUUUUAGUCUCUGAAGGGACACCAAGGGAAUCAAACCAAGAAGGACAACAUUCAGGAAAUGGCCACGAGGCGCUGUGUGUCAAAACCUGUUUUCAAUGAAGAUACGCAUGUUUUAAAUGCAACUGGCUUAUACCUUUUAUAUUAUAUUGACUAUAUUUACAUGUUGUUGUGGCAGAAGACCCUGCCACAAGCCAGCCAACCGGCUUUGCCUUCCAAACCCAGUUUAUUAGCGAGUCACAACGUGGUAAAUGCAGAGGAGGUGUUUCCUUGACGUUUCAGAGCUCUCCCUAGAGCUUGUGUGGUGAUGGCUGGUUGAUCCUGUGUGGGCCCUGAGUGGCCCGAUGCACCACAGGGGUUGCAGCCUUAUGCAGCUCCAGAGUAAUCAGCCUGACUGGAGCCAGAUGAGGCUGCUUAAACCAGCCAUCAACCACACAUGCUUCACAACUGUGUUUUCAAUUGAUGGUAAGGUGUUUUUUAAAUGUUUGGAGGCCAACGCAAUCAGAACAAUCAGCUGCUUUGAGCUGUAUCACUAUAAAGGUAUUUUAUACCUUUUUAUAAGGCCUUUACUGCUAGGUUUUAGAAAUGUACAGAACCCUAAAAUAAUUAAUGGUUACAUCAAGUUUGCUAUUUAACCCUGUAGCAAUGAACGAGUCCUAUUGUGGCAUUUAAAUAUAAAUGCUUGCUGGUGAGUGCAAACAUAACGGAGAUGGAGAUGGGGAGCAGUGUGAUACACCUUCUUUAAUAGCUAGCCUAGUAUUUUUAAAAAACUAAAUUUGUCAAUCAAAUGUUUUUCAUCAAUCAAGUUAUUGUCAUAUCAGCAUUGUUGUGCUUUUAUUUCAUUUAAUCCACAUCAUAGACGUGAGGUCAAACCUCUACUGUCUUGCUUGAAAUGGAAAACAGGCUGAAAUUAGAUAAUUUAACAUUAGGUUUUGCCUUUGGAAUUAAUUAUUGUUAUUUGAAAUGUGUUCUCAUAACUGAAGCUGGAACUGAUGCACUUUUGCAUGGUUUAACCAAUUGUCUUGGACAAGAUAAAGUCGUAAAUUUAAACUUGAAGACUUAAUUCAACAAAAAAUGUUUUGAUUAACCAAAAUCGUAAUUUGGUUAGUGUUAUGUGCAAUUUGAUUCAAACAUGCUUGUUCCCUGUUAAUGAAAUACUUAAUCGUUCGAGUUGGAUUGAAAAUAAAACAAAAAACAUGAA